AACGAGUUAUACGCGACCGGGACAAACCCGAACGCGUCUUUUUGACUUCGCUCGGUCUGUUUUGAUUCAUAGGAGGUGGAGAUUGUAUAUCGAUCAUUAAAUGAUUCUUUAUACCCCUUGAUUAACACGAAUUUAUUUCAAUUUAAAGCUUAUUAAACACCAUUAAAAGCCUAUAGAACUCAACUCGUUUCUUUUCAAAUUCGUUGACUAUGAUACACAAAAAAAAAUAUUCCCAUUGAUCCUAAAAGCUGUUACACAACAAUACCAACUCUCAAAACCUGCAAAUCACCUUUCAACAUCGCGAAUUUAAUCGAGAUCGAAUCUAGGGCUUGUAACUUGUGCGGAUGAUAACUCCUUCAAUUCUUAACCUUUUCAGAAUUCCACAUAUUCCAGUUCGUGCGUUAAUUCUCGUGGAACGUCUCUUCGCAACCUGUUUUUCAAAGUUGAUGAUCAAGUGAUGUGGACACGUAGCAUGGGCCUUAGGAAAUUAAAUUGAAAUCUUGAUAUGUUUGUUUUGAACAAUGUAUGAACAAUUUUGACUAUUAUAUGUUAUGUGAUUAUUUAAAUGGUUA